GUUAACCUUAUUUUUAUAUAAGUAAUUCUAUAGUUUUGGGUUUGCAAAUGAUUUAAAGUUAUCAAUACUGACAUGAAUAUUCUACUGAGUGAUACUAAGAUAAUAAAAGAAUGGUUCGAGAAUAAUAAUUUAAAAAUGAAUGAGAAAAAAAUCUAAAUUUAUGAGAUUUAGGCUGAAUUCAAGCCUACCACACAUUUCCGAUUAUUUUGUGAUUACCGUAUGAUUGUGUUGUCGUUGAAAUCAAUCACUUGCGAAUCACUUAUAGCGAUCGCUUGAAGUCUGUAUCGACCACAGAUUGUGGUCGAUGCGGAUUUCAAACAUGGAAGGUUUUAACAAAAUGGAUUGGAAGAGGAAUUAUUGUUGUGGCUGUUAUUACGUCGAAGAAAUUUGCGUCGUAAAGUUGUGGAUCUAUUCUAUAAACAACUCCGAGUCAAAAUCUUUGUUUUCGGUCGCCAUUUCGUGCCGAACAUCAACAAACGUGUGUGUAUCAAUUGCACAUAUGUAUCCAGUUGAUUAUGGAAUAAUUGAUUGAAAGGAACUGCCUUCGGCGGCUAGUGGUCGGUAUGUCGCACUGUGUGAGUUGUGCCCAACCACCGACGGUCACAAUUUUGUGAAUGAUAUCGUUCACGCAUUGCGACAGCUAUUGAAACCAAUUUCAAAUUAGUAGUCCGUGUGAAUUAUAUUAUGCAUUUCUUCAGUAAUUCACUACCGUCCACAAGCAACCACCGUUUUGCAGUUAUGGUGUAGUUCUGUUGUGGUACGUGCGAGUUCUGCUUUAUGCUAAACAAUUUAUUUCUCCGAAUUAGUUUUAUAUUACCUAAUAGCGUUAUUACAUUUAUAAAUAAUUACAAAGAUCUGGGAAUCAUUAUUGAUUAUAGAUUAUCUUUUAAAAAUCAUAUUCAAAUUUUUAUUAAAUAAAUUCAUGUAGAUUAGCUUUGUUUGGUGAUAUUUAAGGGCAGUAAAUAAUUUGAUUGUUCUAAAAACAAUAUACCAUUCUUUUAUUAUGGCUAAAGUGUUUUAUAGUUAAUCAGUAUUGUGGAAUCUUGAGAUGAUAUGCAUCACAUUUCUAGCUUUAGAUCACAAUCCUGGAUGUGGCUAAGGAUAGAUGAUGAUUCAGAGACCACAGUUUAAUAUAUAUAAACAUGUUUAAUACAAGGGAUCUCUUUACAUUCAUUAUAUACAAUCGAAAUGAGAGGAUAAAUACUUUGUUUUUCUUUUAUGAAGAGAACAUAUGUUAACCAAAAGGUAAAUCACUGUUCCAAUGAAAGAAUAGUUCGCUGACUUCUUCACAAUCUCUUGGAGAGUCACCACAGAUACUCAGAAUCAAUGGAUUUUUUAUUCUUCAGUGAUGAAGAAUUUUCUUUCCUGAUAUCACCAGAAAAAAAAUUCUUUCCCUGAAUAUCAGGAACAACAGACUGUGAUCAGGAAUUUUCUUUCCCAAUCAUAGUCCAUUGUUUCUGAAUUGCUGCCACCAGUUUUUACCUCUCUUGUUAAUGUUAUGACCAGUCAUUUAUCUCAUGAAAAAUGAAAACUUAGAUAUAACAGAAGAAUAUGUGAGAGUGCCCAAAAGAAAUCUAAAAAUCAGACUAUCAAAGCAUGAGCAAGACAUAAAGAUUAAACGCAUCUCUAGAAACUCAAUUUUACACUGGGUAAAAGUGGACUGGAAGAAAGUUAAAAUCAUUUGCAAUAUGGAGAAAUCACAAGAAAAGUUUAUAAGGGAAGCUAUUACAAUUUUUUAAAGAAUCCACUACAAAAACAUGAUCAGUCAAUAACCGAGAGGAGAGUUUGCCUAAUGCCUAGAAAUUUGCAGUCAAGAAAAAAUGCAUAAGACAUCCACAUGAUGAAUGUCUCUGCAAAGAAAAGCAUAAAGCUGGAGCUGCACUAAGGACUAUUAAUGCUUUUAAGUUUAGUUUUAACUUUUAAUUAUUUUAUUUAUUUGGUUUAGUUUUAAAUUAAUUGUUAUAUAUUUUAGCACUGUAAUCGCUAUCCAUGUAAGCCCUAAUCAAGUAACUUAGCUAGAACUCAAGUGUCUAGUUUUAAGUUUAUUUUUAUUGAUAUUCAGAUGUAGCUCUUUGUUCUUAAAAUUUUUUCUUUUUG
rnacentral:lncRNA from 1 species